ACCCCAUCAGCAUCAUCAACCUUCAUGUUGUUGAUCCUCCAGGUCAGCCAGGAGAAAACCCAGACGAUGGAGGGAAGGAGGCUGGAUCUGUUGGACUGGUCAUUGGUCUUUCAGUUGCUGCUGUGGUGUUUUCUGCUGCUGUUGUUCUUUUUUUGAUCUAUAGAAAACAUAAAAAAUGUAAUCAGGACUCACACCAUCCUCCCACUGAACCACAGACUGAAAUGUCUGAGAGUUUUCUAAACUCUGAAUCUCCUGCUGCUGAAUACAAUGACAGAAAUGACCUGGAAGCAAACAACUGUCACGGACACUCCAGAAGGAUCCCUGAUGUCACUCUGACACUUGCUGACUCCUCAGGAAACAGCAGGACUGCUUCCACAGAGAAACAUCAGAGUGCAGUAGAUAAUGUCUGACAGCAGUUUGAAGAGGAAAUGGAUUCUGUUCAGUUCUUCACUCAUCACCUACCUGACAGCUGACACCUCACACCUGUGUCUCACCUGCAGCUCAGACAGGAGGAGACCCUGGGCUGGAAGCUGGUCUGUCAGUUUUUGGUGUGACUUUUUUUAAAACCUGAAACAAUUUUUUCACCUUCUCUUUGUACUGAACAAAAGCUGGUCUUAGGCUAUAUUUAUAUUAUAAGCUAAUGAAAUGUUUCAUAACUAAAAUCUGACAGUUGAGCUUUCAGAUUACUGCAGUACUAUUUUAUCUACCUCAUGCUUUACAACCUAUUUAUUUGCCUCAUUACAAAAAGUCCAACUAAUGUUCCUUCUGCUAUUAGUUAAUGAAGCUUCAGUAGAAAAUUGAAUCAGUCUAUUUCAGCUUUAGCACUGGAUACAUGAAAAUCUAUUUACUGUCAUUUCAUUGUUUUUAUAGAAAACAGAUCAACUAGUCUGACUCCUCAUCACAGAGGUAACACUGUGAUCAGUAACAUUAGACAUUCAUUGUUAUUAAAUGUUCUCAUUAGUUUGUUUCUGUUUCUUUAUUGUAUUGAUACAUUAUUACACAUAAUUCUCAGAAAUUAUAAGAGCAGAAUACAAACAGACCAUGACACAUUUUUCAGGGAUUCUCAGCUGCCAGAAGCAGAUCAGAAAAGAUCAUAAUGUUUUAUAUUCUGUAAAUGAUCAAAUAAUGAAGAAAUAAAUGAUGUCAAAGUUAA